CGCUGUAAACGAUGUCGAUUUGGAGUUUGGGGGCAUGACCCUUGGGCUCCGGAGCUAACGCGUUAAAUCGACCGCUGGGGAGUACGGCCGCAAGGUUAAAACUCAAAUGAAUUGACGGGGGCCCGCACAAGCGGUGGAGCAUGUGGUUUAAUUCGAUGCAACGCGAAGAACCUUACCUGGUCUUGACAUCCAUAGAAUCUUUCAGAGAUGAGGGAGUGCCUUCGGGAGCUAUGAGACAGGUGCUGCAUGGCUGUCGUCAGCUCGUGUUGUGAAAUGUUGGGUUAAGUCCCGCAACGAGCGCAACCCCUAUCCUUUGUUGCCAGCACGUAAUGGUGGGAACUCAAAGGAGACUGCCGUUGAUAAAGCGGAGGAAGGUGGGGACGACGUCAAGUCAUCAUGGCCCUUACGACCAGGGCUACACACGUGCUACAAUGGCGUAUACAAAGGGAUGCGAAGGUGCGAACUGGAGCGGACCUCACAAAGUACGUCUAAGUCCGGAUUGGAGUCUGCAACUCGACUCCAUGAAGUCGGAAUCGCUAGUAAUCGUGAAUCAGAAUGUCACGGUGAAUACGUUCCCGGGCCUUGUACACACCGCCCGUCACACCAUGGGAGUGGGUUGCACCAGAAGUAGAUAGCUUAACCUUCGGGAGGGCGUUUACCACGGUGUGGUUCAUGACUGGGGUGAAGUCGUAACAAGGUAACCA
rnacentral:rRNA from 1 species